CGCAGGCUCGAGCAGGCAUCCCGGGAUCCCAGCGCUGCUACGUCUGUGUCUCCCGUCAGCGGCGGCCGAGCCGAUCUCGCCUCACAACCCUCAGAGGCCCGCGCCUUCGUCGGCGCUUGGUGCUGCCGGCGCCUGUGUGGAAAGUGGGUGCAUUUGGCAGAGGUUGCGUAGUGAUAAAGUGAGAGCAGCCGUGCGGGAUUAAAACAAGCCUGGUGAGGAGGGCCUGUGAAUCGUCAGCAGCGACAUUGCUGGUGCGGCUAUGGUUUGGGGGCAAGGUGACAGCCCCUGCCUGAAGUACAGGGUAUGAAAUACAGUUGCAGUACUUUACAUGGAUAUGGGAAUUGUGGACAAAAUGGUUCAAGAAAUGGGAGCUCUUGUAUUUGAAAGCACUGGGCAAAACUCAGAAAUCAUUCAUCUCCUGGUAAAUCACAUGAAAACUAAUUGCUCAUCCCAAACUGUCAUUGAUUAAAUGGUAACCCAUUCAAUGCAAUAUCGUCAGUAUGAAGUACGGUCUUUCCAUUAUUGCAUUUAUGAGUAAGUUACUCUUCUUUGUGCCUAUCCUCUGCACAUGAAACAAAAUAUGUUUUCCAGUCAGGAGGCUCAAAACAGUGAGGACAAUUAUACGCCAAGGG